GACUUAAUUUAUCUAUUUAUCUCAUCCAUGUGUUGUAUAGACAGAGGGUUUAUUAGCCACCUCCCAAUUUGUUUCAAUCCUUAGUGUUGGUAUUUGGCUUUAAAGUAGCUCAUGUAUCAUUCAUUGAUUAACUACAGAAACAAAGGUGAGAUACAAAACAAUGAGACAGAAAUGAUCAUAUAAUCAUCCUCAUGUGGACGGACUACUUGCGUCAAAUGGUGGCGGCAAGCAGAGAAGAUUGAAAUUAAAGGCUAGAAUUUUCUUUAAAAGAAUUAUUGGCACUGUUGUGCGAUCUAUGCAAGCGGAUCAAAAGGAGCAAGUUUGCCGUGUCUACUAUGCCUAAGAUGUAUGCGGGACACAUGUAUACCUGAUAAGAAGAUGCUUAAAGAUCCAAGGAGGCUGUAUGCACCUGGCCGUCUCUAUCAUAUUGUUGAGAGAAAGCCUUGCAGAUCAAAGUUUCAAACUUUGCACUUAUUAGUGCAUUUAUGACGGAGUUGGAAGCUGAACACCUGUUAUCCAGAACGUUAGAGUCAACUAGCUGUCAGUCUGCUGAUCAGGUGGAAGCAACAUUAGUUAACAAAGGAGUCAGAGUAAUAUCCGAAGAAUCAACCUGUUGGUGUUGUGCUUGUGCGGGCGUGGCUGGCCAGAGAUAGCUAAUACAUGGGAACCCUUGGAGAAUCUCCAAUCUGUCUCUGAUGUUAUAGAAGCAUUUGAAAAAAGUGGGCGGUAAAGACGCGGAAAUCAUAUAGCCAAAAUCAAAUUGACGAGGUGUGCAUUGAAGUGGCUGAUUAUAUACAGAGUUUGAUGUAGGACUGUGACUGCCAAGAUGUUUUUUGAGUAAGGCUAGCUAGUUUUGGCUUUGAAGCAAACCUUGGUGUGGAACUUUUGUACAUUGUUGCUCAUAUGUUUCCAAGCUAGCUUUUGUAAGUUUAGGGGUUUAUUUUCUGAAUUAUGUUGAAUCAUGAAUUUGGAAAGAAAAUUAAUGGAAAGCCCCUAAUUUUGGAUGAUGAGAAAUGCACUUUUUUUCCCAGCAAUAGCUA